ensembl:lncRNA
AUGUAACGUCCAACCUUAAUCAAACUUGAUAUGAUGGAUGAGGGUCCUGGGUCUCUAUACAAUCUCGAUAAGACUGGUAAGUAUACCGAUCUGAAAAACGUAGGGGCUUUAUGUUUCUGGAAUGUUCACAGCGCCACCACGUGGACACAAGAAGUGACUUAAAAUAUCAAGAAUUUACAAUGGAAGAGGACGUUUGUGUCAUUUGCCCACAACACCCAAUCUGCACCAAACUUCCUAGGAUUAACAUGACUCGCCAUAUAACAGUAAGUUGCACAUGCAACGUCCAAUCUGAAUCAAACUUGAUAUGACUGAUGAGGGUGGCCCACUCACUAUCUUAUUUCCACCAAAUGAAGAUGAUCUACAGUGACAACAUCAUGGUUACCAGUCAGGGUGAAGUGAAAAUUGGUGACUUGGGAGCAGCAGUCAGCUUCAGCGACAUAGACAGAAGAAGCGAACUCUUCCCAAGGACCAGCAGGAGGAGGAGAGGCAGAUUGGGAGUGAGGAGCCAAUCACCAGAACAACAUGGGGUGGCAUUUGGCCUGCUGACUAAAACUAACAGGAUGUUCACCUCUUCUGUCUACAUUCCUGUAGCCAAUGGCAGCAGGUCUUUCGUUUUCUUUUGCAUCAGUUUGCCGAGUGUAUACUCGGUGCGCCCCACCACUGGCACAAGAAGAAGGGCUGUAAACAAGGGGAGAGCUGAGAUUCGUGACAUGGUGGUUUUAAUGGAGGUAAGAGAGAAGCUGGGCAAUCAGACGGACAUCUGGAGUGCAGAGAUCAUUUCAGAAACAUCCCGUGGAGAGAACAUCUGGAGAGAGUGGCAUACGAGGACAACGAAGCUGAGGAGGGAAUAGAAAUAUGUUGAGGGCAGUGGUGGCCUAGCAGUUAAGGAAGCGGCCCCAUAAUCAGAAGGUUGCUGGUUCGAUUACAGAUCUGCCAAGUUGUGACCGAAGUGCCACUAAGCAAAGCAACGUCCCCACACACUGCUCCCCGGACGCCUGUCAAUUAUAUUGCUGUUGCUUAAUUAAUUGCUGUAGCAGACAUUUUUAAACCUAUAUUAUAUAUGGG